CCCUUAGAUGUUCUGGGCCGCACGCGCGCUACACUGAUGCAUUCAACGAGUCUAAAACCUGCUCUGAUAGGGGUGGGUAAUCUUUUGAAUGUGCAUCGUGAUUGGGAUAGAUGAUUGCAAUUUUUCAUCUUCAACGAGGAAUGCCUAGUAAACGCAAGUCAUCAGCUUGCAUUGAUUACGUCCCUGCCCUUUGUACACACCGCCCGUCGCUCCUACCGAUUGAAUGAUCCGAUGAAUAUCAUGGAUUGAGGAUGCAAGCAGGUUCGCCUGUCUUCAUCUUCGGGAAGUGAAGUAAAUCUUAUCAUUUAGAGGAAGGAGAAGUCGUAACA
rnacentral:rRNA from 1 species